GUUGGGCAAAUGAUGAAUCUGACAUGGUGUAAAUGGGUAAUUUGCAUCUAAAUAUCUUAAUGUUAAUAUCACCUUGGAAAAUUGAUGCCCUAA